GCGUUAGUAGUAAUAUGUGGUAACUCUUAUUUAGGGGGUUAAAAGAGCACGUCCCUUCUAAGGAUGUGGUCAUUGGUUCGAAUCCAAUAGGGCGUGCCA
rnacentral:tRNA from 1 species